ACUGCUUCGCUGAGCGCAGCUGGAUACGCCCGCAGAAGUCCAACCCUGAACAGUUGGGGCAAAAAUGGACACAAUAUUCAAGCUUGAUACAGGUCUGAAUUUGGAUUGUAAUUAAAUAUUUGACAUAUUAUAGGUUUCUGAAUAAAUGUAGUCAAAGAACUUGAAAUUGGUUAUAUGAAUUGAAUUUAUAUUCAAUUAAAGAUUUCUUUCUGUUGUGCAAUACACUGUGCUGUUGCGCAAUACUAGUAAAUCUGUUGUCAGACUAUAAACAAAUUAAGUUCAAUAACUUCUCAAUGUUAUAUUGGAAAUUUAUAAAAAAAAAUAAAGGGAGGUUAUCUUAAUAGAUAUAAAUCAGUCAUCAAAGUUUAAUGAAAACUGCUCUAAGCACUUUUAGGAUAUUGUCCAAAAACUUGAAAAUCACCCCUUUUUUUAUGAAUAAAAUCUUGUAACUCGGAAAUAUAAAAUCUAAAAUUUAUAAAAAUCAAAAGGGAGCUUACAACAAUAGAUAUAAACAAUUUAACAAAGUUUCAUAAAAUAUGCUGAAAGCAUUUUUGAGUUAUUGUCCGAAAACAGGAAUAUCCCCCUUUUUGUAACAAAUAAAACCCCAUAAAUCAGAAACGUUUUGUCUAAAAUUUAUAAAAAUCAAAAGGGAGCUCAUGUCGAUAGCAUUAAACAAUUCACCAAAGUUUCUUGCAAAUUGGUGAAAUUGUUUUUGAGUUAUUGUCUGAAAACUGGAAAAUCCCCCCUUUUUUAAUGAAUAAAACUCCAAAAUUCGGAAACGGUAAAUCCGAAAUUUAUAAAAAAGGAAAGGGAGCUCACGUCAAUAGAUAUAAACAAUUCACCAAAGUUUCAUGCA